UGUAUUUUUGUCUCUUUGGAGCCGUGUUUCAGAGAGAGGCGAGAAAUUGUUGUGCUGUGACAAAACAAGAGCUGCCAUAUAUCGAAGGAGGUCCUUUGGUUUCCUUUUCUGUUUGUUGAUUUGUGUUUUGAGGUUGCUGUGACCCCCACAUACAUCUAAAAAAAUUCCUUGGAAGCUUUCUCUUCCCAGCAUGUGUUGUGUCAGCCAACAAUCCCAACAUUCCCCAAAUUUUGUGUUCCUUUGUUCCAUAUUCCUUCAUUCUGCUCAGCCCUGGGACCACCAGGCCUCUGUCCCACAGGACCUGACUCUGGGAAUAACUGGAUAUCCAUGAAAACCUCUUUCAUCCUGACUUGGGAAGAAAAGCUUGGAGGGGAGAGGAUUGGGGCAGGAAGAAGCCUGGGUUGAAAGCAAAGCAAUGACAGAGCUGAGGUCGCUGGAGGGAGCAGAAAGGCAUAAAGAAGAAGGGGGAAAGGAGAUGGUUGUAAUCAUAAAAGUUGCAGGAGAAGCAUGACUUGUUUUAUUGAUGUGAAAUUCGCUGGAGGCCCAAGUGACUUCACUUCUGAGGAGAAAUCUCUGCAGUGUUUCAGAAGGGGAUAAUCUAAAUUAAUCGAUCCAUCUGUAAAGUGCUAAAAAUACAUUUCCUCUGUGGAAAGGUUGUUCCUUAUGUUCUGCCACUUCAGGAUCUGUUUCCCCAGGAGCACAGACAUGGAAAAAUAUGCUGGCACAGCAAGGAGACCAGGCUGUUAUUGGUGUUGGUGUUGUGAGACUCUAUUGGAAAUCUGGGAAAAUCCGUGUCAUCCCUGACUAAGAUUUGUCCCCAGGGAGUACAAACUAACUCUGAGAUGGAGAUGGAAAACCAAACACCCCAAAGAUGCUCAGGACAUCUCCUCAGCGAUUUCCUGCAUUACUCCAAACACCAGCAGAUUUUAGGAUGCUGCUUUUCCCCUCAAGAAAA